rnacentral:rRNA from 1 species
UGGGGAAUUUUGGAUAAUGGGCGCAAGCCUGAUCCAGCCAUGCCGCGUGCGGGAAGAAGGCCUUCGGGUUGUAAACCGCUUUUGUCAGGGAAGAAAUCUUCUGAGUUAAUACCUCGGGAGGAUGACGGUACCUGAAGAAUAAGCACCGGCUAACUACGUGCCAGCAGCCGCGGUAAUACGUAGGGUGCAAGCGUUAAUCGGAAUUACUGGGCGUAAAGCGUGCGCAGGCGGUUUUGUAAGACAGAGGUGAAAUCCCCGGGCUCAACCUGGGAGCUGCCUUUGUGACUGCAAGGCUUGAGUGCGGCAGAGGGGGAUGGAAUUCCGCGUGUAGCAGUGAAAUGCGUAGAUAUGCGGAGGAACACCGAUGGCGAAGGCAAUCCCCUGGGCCUGCACUGACGCUCAUGCACGAAAGCGUGGGGAGCAAACAGGAUUAGAUACCCUGGUAGUCCACGCCCUAAACGAUGUCAACUGGUUGUUGGGAAGGUUCCUUCUCAGUAACGUAGCUAACGCGUGAAGUUGACCGCCUGGGGAGUACGGCCGC